GAUGAAGAACGUAGCGAAAUGCGAUACGUAAUGUGAAUUGCAGAAUUCAGUGAAUCAUCGAAUCUUUGAACGCAUAUUGCGCUCUCUGGUAUUCCGGAGAGCAUGCUUGUUUGAGUAUCAGUAAACACCUCAACUUCCAUAUCUUUUUUGAAAUGGGAGUUGGACUUGAGUGAUCCCAACGCUUUUCCUCACCGAAAAGUGGCGGGUUACUUGAAAUGCAGGUGCAGCUGGACUUUUCUCUGAGCUAUAAGCAUAACUAUUUAGUCUGCCUAAAAAACAGAUUAUUACCUUUGCUGCAGCUAACAUAAAGGAGAUUAGUUCUUGUGCUGACUGAUGCAGGAUUCACAAAGACAGGCUUCGGCCGACUUUGUAAACUCGAUCUCAAAUCAAGUAAGACUACCCGCUGAACUUAAGCAUAUCAAUAAGCGGAGGA
rnacentral:misc_RNA from 1 species